CCAUCAUUUAAAGAAAGCGUAAUAGCUCACUGGUCGAGUCGGCCUGCGCGGAAGAUGUAACGGGGCUAAACCAUGCACCGAAGCUGCGGCAGCGACACUAUGUGUUGUUGGGUAGGGGAGCGUUCUGUAAGCCUGUGAAGGUGGCCUGUGAGGGUUGCUGGAGGUAUCAGAAGUGCGAAUGCUGACAUAAGUAACGAUAAAGCGGGUGAAAAGCCCGCUCGCCGGAAGACCAAGGGUUCCUGUCCAACGUUAAUCGGGGCAGGGUGAGUCGACCCCUAAGGCGAGGCCGAAAGGCGUAGUCGAUGGGAAACAGGUUAAUAUUCCUGUACUUGGUGUUACUGCGAAGGGGGGACGGAGAAGGCUAUGUUGGCCGGGCGACGGUUGUCCCGGUUUAAGCGUGUAGGCUGGUUUUCCAGGCAAAUCCGGAAAACCAAGGCUGAGGCGUGAUGA
rnacentral:rRNA from 1 species